AUUGAACGCUGGCGGCAGGCCUAACACAUGCAAGUCGAACGAGUGGCGGACGGGUGAGUAAUGUCUGGGAAACUGCCUGAUGGAGGGGGAUAACUACUGGAAAAGGUAGCUAAUACCGCAUACCAUCAAAUGUGCCCAGAUGGGAGUAGCUAGUUGGUGGGGUAACGGCUCACCAAGGCGACGAUCCAUAGCUGGUCUGAGAGGAUGACCAGACACACUGGGGCUGAGACACGGUCCAUAUUCCUACGGGAGGCAGCAGUGGGGAAUAUUGCACAAUGGGCGCAAGCCUGAUGCAGCCAUGCCGCGUGGAUGAAGAAGGUCUUCGGGUUGUAAAGGACUUUCAGCUGGGAGGCGUUACCCUCAGAAGUAGCACCGGCUAAGUCCGUGCCAGCAGCCGCGGUAAUUC
rnacentral:rRNA from 1 species